rnacentral:rRNA from 1 species
CUGGAAUGACGGAGCGGCGAACGGGUGAGUAACACGUGAGCAACCUGCCCCACAGACCGGGAUAGCCCAGGGAAACCUGGAUUAAUACCGGAUACCCUCGGAGGACCGCAUGGUCUGCCCAGGAAAAGCCUUUGUGCUGUGGGAUGGGCUCGCGACUUAUCAGUUAGUUGGUGGGGUAACGGCCUACCAAGACAAUGACGAGUAGCUGGUCUGAGAGGACGAUCAGCCACACUGGAACUGAGACACGGUCCAGACUCCUACGGGAGGCAGCAGCAGGGAAUCUUGUCCAAUGGGCGAAAGCCUGAGACAGCGACACCGCGUGGGGGAUGAAGGCCUUCGGGUUGUAAACCCCUUUCAGGAGGGAAGAAAUUGACGGUACCUCCAGAAGAAGCACCGGCCAACUACGUGCCAGCAGCCGCGGUAAUACGUAGGGUGCAAGCGUUAUCCGGAAUCAUUGGGCGUAAAGAGCUCGUAGGCGGUUCAGCAAGUCGGCUGUGAAAGUCCGAGGCUCAACCUCGGAAUUGCAGUCGAUACUGCUGUGACUCGAGUCCGGUAGAGGAGAACGGAAUUCCCGAUGUAGCGGUGAAAUGCGCAGAUAUCGGGAGGAACACCAGUAGCGAAGGCGGUUCUCUGGGCUGGCACUGACGCUGAGGAGCGAAAGCGUGGGGAGCAAACAGGAUUAGAUACCCUGGUAGUCCACGCUGUAAACGUUGGAUACUAGGUGUGGCGUCCCGAUCAACGGUCGCCGUGCCGAAGCUAACGCAUUAAGUAUCCCGCCUGGGGAGUACGGCCGCAAGGCUAAAACUCAAAGGAAUUGACGGGUCCCCGCACAAGCGGCGGAGCAUGCGGCUUAAUUCGAUGCAACCCGAAGAACCUUACCUGGGUUUGACAUCACGGGAAAAGCUGCAGAAAUGCAGUGUCCAUUAGGGCCCGUGACAGAUGGUGCAUGGCUGUCGUCAGCUCGUGUCGUGAGAUGUUGGGUUAAGUCCCGCAACGAGCGCAACCCUCGUCCUAUGUUGCCAGCGGUUCGGCCGGGGACUCAUGGGAGACUGCCGGGGAUAACUCGGAGGAAGGUGGGGACGACGUCAAGUCAUCAUGCCCCUUAUAUCCAGGGCUGCACGCAUGCUACAAUGGCCAGUACAACGGGCAGCGAUCUCGCGAGAGUGAGCGAGUCCCUUAAAGCUGGCCCCAGUUCGGAUUGAAGUCUGCACUCGACUUCAUGAA